UACGUAGGGUGCGAGCGUUGUCCGGAAUUAUUGGGCGUAAAGAGCUUGUAGGCGGUCUGUCGCGUCUGCUGUGAAAAUCCGGGGCUCAACCCCGGACUUGCAGUGGGUACGGGCAGACUAGAGGUGUGGUAGGGGAGACUGGAAUUCCUGGUGUAGCGGUGAAAUGCGCAGAUAUCAGGAGGAACACCGAUGGCGAAGGCAGGUCUCUGG
rnacentral:rRNA from 1 species